rnacentral:rRNA from 1 species
AGAGUUUGAUCCUGGCUCAGAAUGAACGCUGGCGGCGUGCUUAACACAUGCAAGUCGUACGAGAACUCUUCUGCUUGCAGAAGAUAGUAAAGUGGCGUACGGGUGAGUAACACGUGGGUAAUCUACCUUUAAAUUGGGGAUAACAACGCGAAAGCGAUGCUAAUACCGGAUAAUAUCUCAGAAACCCCGGUUUUUGAGAUCAAAGGGGGCCUCUAUAUAUAAGCUUCCGUUUGAAGAUGAGCCCGCGUACCAUUAGCUAGUUGGUAGGGUAAAGGCCUACCAAGGCUACGAUGGUUAGCUGGUCUGAGAGGAUGAUCAGCCACACUGGAACUGACACACGGUUCAGACUCCUACGGGAGGCAGCAGUGAGGAAUUUUGCGCAAUGGGGGAAACCCUGACGCAGCAACGCCGCGUGAGUGAUGAAGGCCUUCGGGUCGUAAAGGUCUGUCAAGUGGGAAGAACCCUUUUGAGGUAAAUAGCCUUGAGAGCUGACGGUACCUUUGAAGGAAGCCCCGGCUAACUACGUGCCAGCAGCCGCGGUAAUACGUAGGGGGCAAGCGUUGUCCGGAUUCACUGGGCGUAAAGGGUGCGUAGGCGGAUUUAUAAGUCAGUCGUGAAAGCCCGGGGCUCAACCCCGGAAGUGCGCUUGAAACUGGUAGACUUGAGUGCAGGAGAGGAAAGCGGAAUUCCAUGUGUAGCGGUAAAAUGCGUAGAUAUAUGGAGGAACACCAGUGGCGAAGGCGGUUGUCUGGAUUAUAACUGACACUGAGACACGAAAGCGUGGGGAUCAAACAGGAUUAGAUACCCUGGUAGUCCACGCUGUAAACGAUGAGUGCUAGGUGUCGCGGGUAUUGACCCCUCCAGUGCCAAAGUUAACGCAAUAAGCAUCCCGCCUGGGGAGUACGCACGCAAGGGUAAAACUCAAAGGAAUUGACGGGGACCCGCACAAGCAGCGGAGCAUGUGGUUUAAUUCGACGCAACGCGAAGAACCUUACCAGGGCUUGACAUCCCGAUCGUACCUGCUGGAAACAGUGGGGUCAGUUCGGCUGGAUCGGAGACAGGUGGUGCAUGGUUGUCGUCAGCUCGUGUCGUGAGAUGUUGGGUUAAGUCCCGCAACGAGCGCAACCCUUACUCCUAGUUACCACCAUUAAGUUGGGGACUCUAAGGGGACUGCCGGUGAUAAAUCGGAGGAAGGUGGGGAUGACGUCAAGUCAUCAUGGCCCUUAUGAUUAGGGCUACACACGUACUACAAUGGACUAAACAGCGGGAAGCGAAACCGCGAGGUGGAGCCAAUCCCAGAAAGCCGUUCUCAGUUCGGAUUGGAGUCUGCAACUCGACUCCAUGAAGUUGGAAUCGCUAGUAAUCGCGGAUCAGCAUGCUGCGGUGAAUACGUUCUCGGGCCUUGUACACACCGCCCGUCAAACCACGGGAGUUGAUUGUACCUGAAAUCGGUGGGCUAACCUUCGGGAGGCAGCCGCUUAUGGUAUGGUCGGUGACUGGGGUGAAGUCGUAACAAGGUAACC